CAGUAUUCAAUCCUACACGUUAUUGUACUACAGUACAGUAGGUGGCGGUAUACUGUAGUGUGCUGUUCAUGUCCGCAUCGUCAUACGCGCCAGCACCGCUGAAAGACUGCAGGAACAGAAACCCCUGGAAAGAUGAGUUCCCUAUUAAAGAGAGGCUUGAUGCUGUUUACUACACACUCUUAGGCUGAUUUUGGAUUAUUUGUCUGUGAAGACACAGUAGUUCAGUUUCUGAAUCCCAUCAAGAAUGAAGACCUGCAGGCCACCAUAUUGAGCUGGUCUGAUGUCAUGAUAUGGCGCUUUUCCAAUGUAGGGUACAACUUGGCUCGGCACGAUGCAGCUCAGCUCGCUUUCGUUGCUUUUCCAGUACAGUUUAGUAUCGCUUCAGAGUGGGUGAGAUUAUAGGCAGGGGUGCACAUAAGGGUGUGUAUGCGCGAUUAGAAACAAUUCCAGCGUACCAACGUCGCUGGAAUUUUGUUACAUAGUUAGCUAAUUUACUGCGACAUCUCGAUCACUCCCCAGUGACUGGUCCCAGUAUAGGUCAUAAACCCCGCCUCCCCCAUGUUAUUCAAUGGGACUUGAGACCUGUUAGAUACAAAAUAAACUUCAGUAUGUAAAACGUUUUCUCUUUAUUUAUCCACCGAUAACAUCCGCUCCAACACGAGCACUAAAACAACAACCGGCUUUCCGCCCGGGCUUCAUAAUAAGAGUCACCUUUUAGCUUCCGUAAAAGGUCAUGUGAAAUAAUAAACAAUAUUUAGCAUAAAGCUAUAAUAUACAUAAACACAUUUUUAAUGUCUUAAACUUAACAAGACCAACUAAACAAUUAAAUUACACUUCAAUUAUCUUUUUUCCGAAGCUUGUUUUUGUCAUUUACUGUAGGUUUUAUCAUGCUGAUGUAAAUUCAAGUGUUUGUUUUUAAAAUAAGUUUGUUUUUAGUUAGUUAGUUAAUGCUAUAAAAACGGUGGUGUCACGUCAUGAUUGACAGCUGUGUAUGCACAUUCUGGGAGAGUGAGGGCGGGGCCUUGAUUUCGCGGCUUUACUUCCUGCUCACUACUGCACAGGACUGGUCCCGAAAUUGCUACUGCGCAGACUCAAAACCCAAGAUGUCAGCGGCGACACUGGCGGCUUCACUUUUCACCAAUGGAAGAGAGCAAGCUCUCCAGGUGCUCCUUUUAGAACCAGGACAAAAAAAAGUUAUGUGCACCCCUGAUUAUAGGCUUAUUGUUACAGUUGCGUCCCCUCUACUGCCGUAACAUCAUCGUAAAUGCGAUACAAACACACACACACACAACAUGGAGCAACAGAGCAUAUUAAUGGAAUGUAGCCACAAAAUCAAAAUUGACAGCCACAACUACAUUUUCCACUACCUCUCUCACAUGACAGGUUCUGUACAAACACCCAUGUCAUCAGUACCUGCACUAUGCGGACAGAACAUUUAAGCCAUGACGCCUAUAUUUUUGGUGCGUUUUGGAUGCGGAGCCAUGCGCAAAGUUACAAAAAUGCCAUGCAGACAUAGGCAUGGUGGUGUGCUCUGCAUUUUUGUAACUUUACACAUGACUUCACAUCCGAAACCCAUUACUCCUCACCCAAAAGUGAGCUGUGCUGAACUGGGUCAUACUAUGCAGUGGAAAGGCGCCAAAAGUGUCCUACUUCGUGGCUUGAAGGAUUUAGCAGUUUCAGCGUUGGACUUGUAAUUCUGCGUGUUUGGCCUCUUUAGCACUUGCUGUUUGAAAGUCAUUGCUUGCAACAGAUUGAGCGACUGUCAUUCUGCAUUUCUGUUUGCAUUGUGCUUCAUAUAUGAGAAAGACAACGCUUGAAGAACCACACAACACUCAUAUUAAUGUAUGUGUCAUAUUAAUAAAAAUAAACAAGUCUUUGCACUUCAUUUAUAUUUAAUCGAGUGAUAUGUAACUUCACAAUGGUGGAUUCUUUAACUAUUACAUGAAUAUGUGCAUUGUGAUUUCGAUUUAUUGACCAUAGUUAUGUCUUAGGAAUAGUGGGGAAAAUCAUUUACUAAAAAAGACAAGGUGCCAGAUCUUUCAUUUACUUAAAUGCAAUAAAAUUAUAGUACAAUUGUAAGCAGCUUUAAUGGAAUCUAUGUAAUAUAGUCAGUAAAGGGUCGAUAUAAAGGCCACGUUUUUAGCAUAUAGUUUAUAAAUUAAGAAAAAAAUUCUUAAUAUUAGAUACUAUAAAUUACGAUUUUCAUUAGUAAAGCCAUACAGCAUUUUUACUUUAAUGUUGCAUAAAAGGGUAACUCUAAGUGUAACUUUCUGCCUUAUGGUUAAAUGUGUAGUAUGGGUUUAUAUUAAAGCUUCGAGUGGUUUCACGUCCCCGGAAGGUCCGCCAGCGAACGUUGUCUAGCGGACCAUAUGCGGACGUCACCGGAAUGUCCGCCAGCGAACGUUAUUUAGCGGACCUUAUGCGGACGUUCCCGGAAGGUCCGCCAGCGAACGUUAUUUAGCGGACCAUAUGCGGACGUCCCCGCAAGGUCCGCCAGCGAACGUUAUUUAGCGGACCAUAUGAGGACGUCCCCGGAAGGUCCGCCAGCGAACGUUACAAUGCGGACCAAUUGAGGACCUUUUGCGGACCUAAGAGGACAUUCGCGACGUCCGGGGGACGUCCCCUGUUUGCUGGGGACGU